ensembl:lncRNA
AUGGUGCUGCCAAGAGAAAAUUCCCUGCUACAGUGCAUAAGGGCAGGGAUCACUGCAAGAAGAGAGGUUGCUUGCUUUACAUCCAUCUGGCCUAAGAAAAGGAGGCAUGGAAACUCAAGGCAAGAUAUCCAGGGUACUCAAAACUGGCUUAACAGUGUACUCCUCUAUACUGUGGCAACUGGGGAUUUCAACAGGCUGUCACCAGCAUUUGGGCAGGAGACCCAGAGAGAUGUCACAUCACCUCCCCAGCAGCAGUUCCAUAAGCCUCCCAUAAGUGCCUACAGAACCAUAAUGUUAGGAGCAGCACACACCACCACAUAACACCAUCAGAGGCUGAGGGUUGGAAACAAGCGUUCUGGACGUCAGUUUCCUUUGAAGCACCCCACGACCACUCAUCAGAGUGACCCUCCAAAUCACAACUGCAUCUCCCCCUCACCAGCCUGAUGCUCUGCAGGCACGAGCCAGUAAUAUAUUACCUAAAUUCACUCACCGCUGCGAGUCAACUGCUCAAACAUCUAAAUAAGCAACCUAAGGGUAGGUUCAACCUAGACGCUUUCCUGUUGUGCUAGUUAAGAGAAAGAAAUACUUGUGCUCCCUCCAAGCUGGCACAAGUCCUAGCACACAUACAGUUACAUCAGUGAACAGUGAGCACUCUUGCUGCUAUAGCUCACUUCACUCAGCAUCACCCGCACAAUUCGAGUGCUUUUUGCCAGCACGAAACCCAAACUUACACGGGGCUUCCCAAGGUAUUUAUGCCAAGUCCUGCUCGAUUAGCAGCAUUCAUUGUGCUAAAGGCUGUCAGGAUGAUUAAAAAGAACACCUCUGCUUAAAGGAUCUGGAUACAAACUGUAGGUUUUCCAAGCUGUAACUUUUCGUUUGCAGGGUAUCUGACUUCUACAUGAGCAACAUGAAUAACUGAAAAUAAAUUAUCACAAGACAAAACAAAGCUUAAAAUAACGUAGGACAUAAAUACCUACAGCUAACAAAGAAAACUAGAGGGAAAUACAGGAACACAAUUCUAAACAAAACAGCAGGGAGAUUGUUCCCAUGCUUCCCACUGCAACACUACCCUUUCCAUUGAAGGUGCACUGAAAGAGGGAACCCUCACAGCACAAAACAAAAAAUUAUUAGGAUUUUCCUGCAAUUUACAGGGAAUUCUAAUGGCUCAUCAGUUUUAUGCAGCAGAGGAAUUUGCCGACUUAGAUCACGCAAAUCUUGCCGGACCUCUACUCCAAAGGACCUUACACUCGUGCCUUUAAGACAAAGAAGGUUCACAUCCAACUGUAAGGCAGACAAUAACUUCCAGGCGAAAAAAAAAAAAAAAAAAAAAAAAAGGGGGGGGGGGGGGGGGGGGGGGGGGGGGGGGGGGGGGGGGGGGGGGGGGGGGGGGGGGGGGGGGGGGGGGGGGGGGGGGGGGGGGGGGGGGGGGGGGGGGAAAAAAAAAAAAAAAAAAAAAAAAAAAGGCAGGCAUGAGUAACUCGUUUCCCCAGCUGUCUGAGUGAGGGGCAGGCCUGCAGGGAGCACGGCGUCCCCGAGCAGCCGGAGCAGCGCUCGGCCACCGAGCCGCAUUUCUCACCGUGUCCUGCACCAAUCCAGAGAGCAGAUUAUGGAAACAGAACAGGCGCUAAAAGCGAGCUGGGGGGAGGACGGCGGGGGGAAGGGGGGAGGGGGGGGGGGGGGGGGGGGGGGGGGGGGGGGGGGGGGGGGGGGGGGGGGGGGGGGGGGGGGGGGGGGGGGGGG